GAAAACGGUUCAGCGAGAGCCCACUUCCUCAAACCGUGAGCGGUGGACGCAGGCGCUCAAAUGUCUCCUGUGGGAGGAUGUGGAGAAGCCGGAGCGCUCCCACGCGGCUGGUGGGCAGGCCGGGCGGCGGCCCCCGCGGGAACGCGGCCGUUCCUCGGAGGGUGGCGCGUGGGAUUACCAGACGGCUCAGCAGCUCCACUGCGGAGCUCGCCCCUGGUCUGAAAACAGGGGCCCACACCCCCGCACGCGACCUGCACCGCAGCGCCGGGGACGGCGACCGGCUCGAUUCCACAGUGCCAACGGUCACCGCCGGAUAAACGGGUUUCAAACAAACGUGUCUCCCCAUCACGACGCCAUCAGGAGAACUCAGGCUGUGGUGUCGCCGAGAACAUUCCUGAAAGAAGUCAGGACACAGGUUUUCCGAGAUGCAGCGAGGCUCGGUGUUCCUCCCUUCCCGGCGUGGGAUGGUCACCCCCUGACCUCUGCUCUUCCGGGUCACGGGACCACACUUCCCAGGGUGGGUCCCAUCCUCGUGGUGUGGGUGGGACCAUCUGGCAGCCCCCGCCCGUAAGCUCCGCCCCGACAGCAAAGCCACUGGGCGCCCUCCCCGCUCCCCGCUCCCCGCUCCGGGCCUGAUCUAGGACGUGCGGAGCUCUGGGCCAUCUUCCCGCUCAGUGUGCCUCUCCCACGUGCUUCCCGUGAACCCGGACCCCCAGGCCCACCUGCCUGCCUGGCCUCUCCACCCACAUGGUGAGCGGGCAUCCCAGAUUUCACGUGUCCAGACCAAACUUCUGAUUUCCCACGUGCCCCCAGCCCAGCCCACUCCUCCCUCGUGUCCCCAUCUCAGGAAAUGGCGUCGCCAUCCGCCGAGCACAGAGCCCGGGACCGUGCCCGUCCGCUCUGUUUAACGCGCACGCCACGUCCACCUGACGGCACGUCCCGACGUGUCACCUGGCGGCGUGUCCUGACAGCGCUGCCUCCGAGACAUGUCCCAACCCGAGGAGGCCGAGUCUCGUCCCGCCCCCGUCACAUCCUGCCUAGACCAGCAACGGUCCCCCGACGGGGCUCCGCCCGCACCCUCCUGGCCACGGUCACCCAACCACACGGUGCGGGCCGCCCCACCUCACUGCCUCGCAGGCGCUCGGCCAGGCAGACAAGGAGCGCGAGCAAGAGCAGGGGGUGGGGGUCCCCCGAGGGACUUCCGAGUCCAGUACGACCUCAGUAGCUGCCACAGCCUGGGCAGCCUCUCUCGCGCGCAAAUCUCGGCCGUGGCGCCUCGUCCUACCGGGCACCACGCCGUCGGGCACGGGCCCAGAAAGCCGAGGCCCCCUUGGGACGACGAGGCGGAGCUCUCGGGGACGGUCGGCACCGGACGUCUUCAGAAGAGCGCGGACCGGCCUUGCGGCCUCAGAGGGGCUCCCUUCCGCGCUUCCUGCCACGGCACGAGGCCCGUGAGUCACCGGGCACAGGUGAGGGUCACGCUGCGGCCUCGUGUCAAACCCUUGUCUUACCAACCUUCAGAGCCAGGGGCCGAAAGUCAACAGUGCCUUGCCUUGGGGUUUGCCGGAACGAACCGCGCUUCGGCGAGGUUUUGGUGCACACGGUCCAUUUGACUUGUGUGUGUGUGUGUGUGUGUGUGUGCAUGUGUGCUCACGCACCUGUCACGCAGAAUGUCCCACAGUGACCGCUCGUGAUCGUACGUUCACUGGCAGUGACCACAUCCACGCUCUCGCGCCACCAUCCCCACCGCCCGCCCCCCGAACGCUUUCAUCGUCCCGUGCGACGAUCACUCUGAGCCGCUAAAUGAUAGCUCCCCGCCCCCACCCGGGCCCCGGCAGCCACCAUGCCCCCCCCUCCGUCCCCGUGAGUGAGCGGCGCUAGCCCGCCUCGUGUACGUGAACUGCGGCUCACGUCCCCGAGCGCGGUGUCCUCGAGGUUCAUCCGGGCCGUCUCCUGUGUCACAACCUCCUUCCCUUUCAAGGCUACGCGGUAUUUCAUCCCGUGUGUAAACCACACUUUGUGGCUCCCCUGGCUUGUCGGUGCACGGCACCUCGCGUGCGUCUUCUGGCCGUAGCGGGAGCCGCUGGAGUGCACGUGGGUGUGCACAUGGAUAUCUGCCGAGUCCCUGCUGGCGUUCUUUCGGACCCACGCCCGUCAGCGGAGCUGCGGGCUCACGUCCAUCUGAGGCCGUGAAGGACGUACUGGUUGCGAGGGAAGGAGAAAGGGGGACGGAAACGAGGUCUUGUUACCGAGAGUCGCUGAAGGCAGGCUUUGGUUUCGGGAUUGCUCCCCCUCCGCUCACACACGCCUCGGGGCACACGCUCACGUGCUCCCACACAUGCACACACACGCACACCUACACAUCACACACUCACACUCACACACACACACACAUAUACACGCACGCUCAAUACUCGCACACACACGUGCACACGAUGCACCCACACCACACACACACGUGCUUACGCAUCACGCUUACACUCGCUCACAUGCACGUAUACACGCACACGCUCGUGCUCACACAUACAUGCACUUACGCAUCACACUGACACACACACACACACACACACACACACCCCUGCACUAACACACACACAGCCCCUGUGAACGUGCUGGAGCCUGACUGUGAACCAACCGACUGUAAGAGGAAAAUGCCCGUGACCAGAACGUCGGCAACAACCUCACAAACAGUCACGGGCGACCCCUGCUGGUGCUGCCGCCUGGGACCCGAGGGGACCUGAGGCACAAGCCAGGCCGUGAGGACACUGGGAUGGAGGGAUUGACGGUGUCUGGACUUUGCCAACUUCUCCGUGACUGCGCUGUCCUCGAUCCCUGUGACCCCACUCCGUGAUCCUUGUGACCUCUAUGUCCACGAUCCCUGUGACCUCACCGCCCCGAUCUUGGCCGUGGGAGGGGAGCCCCACGAACUGCUGUGGUUGAUCCUCAAACUAAGGAUGAAAUACUGAGGGCCGUUGGACGCGUGGACGCCCUCACCAGGCCCAGGCUCCUGCCUGCCCCUCCGUGCACGCCCGGGCUCCCCGCCCCCCGCCCCCGUUCACACCCUCACCGGGCCGGCACAUUCCGGCACAGCCCCCCCCCCCCCCCCCCCCCCCGGACGCUGCUCCAGUGGCAAGAAAGGCCAAGAGUCACUCCCAUCAGGCCCUUCAUGCCCAAAGGCUUCUGGAACGCUGUGUCCCUCACUCCCCACGUGGUGGGGACUCCCUGCGCCCUGGCCUGAGUCAGAAGCCACCAUCGUGUCACCAGUGACCGGAUCCGUAAAGGAGACUGGACGUCCCCCCUUCACAGAGGCACCUGCCGCCUCCAGCAGGGACACGACCCGGCAGAGAGAGGGGCCCGGGCUGCAGUGACGUCCCGCCUGCUUGGGAACAUGACCCCAGUCUCUCAGGGAAGCACAGGACUGCUUCCACUUCAGCAAAGGGAACGCGAGGUGCGGAGCAAGACGGAACGAGAGGGGCAACGGGUCAGACGCUAGCGACGAGUCGGGGGCGCCCGCGGCCGUCCACACUGCCCCAUCUUGCAGGUACGAAAAUUCCUCCCGGGCACGAGGGUUUUGUUGACAACAGAAGCUCGGUUGCAUGGAGUAUCUUCGUGACCUCGUUCGAAUCGUUCUAAUGAAGGUGACUUCCAAAGGAAACCCCCUCCUCUGUCACCCCCGGAGCCCCUGCCUCCGCGCCUGCCACA